rnacentral:rRNA from 1 species
GUGCAGCAGUCGCGAAACCUCCGCAAUGCACGCAAGUGCGACGGGGGAACCCCAAGUGCCACUCUUAACGGGGUGGCUUUUCAGAAGUGUAAAAAGCUUCUGGAAUAAGGGCUGGGCAAGACCGGUGCCAGCCGCCGCGGUAACACCGGCAGCUCAAGUGGUAGCCGCUUUUAUUGGGCCUAAAGCGUCCGUAGCCGGUCUGAUAAGUCUCUGGUGAAAUCCCACGGCUUAACUGUGGGAAUUGCUGGAGAUACUAUCAUGACUCGAGGUCGGGAGAGGCUGGAGGUACUCCCAGGGUAGGGGUGAAAUCCUGUAAUCCUGGGAGGACCACCUGUGGCGAAGGCGUCCAGCUGGAACGAACCUGACGGUGAGGGACGAAAGCCAGGGGCGCGAACCGGAUUAGAUACCCGGGUAGUCC